rnacentral:rRNA from 1 species
UUUAACGAACGCUGGCGGCGUGGAUAAGACAUGCAAGUCGAACGGAUUUUCCGGAGUAGCAAUACAACGGGAGGUCACUGGCGCAAGGGUGAGUAACACGUGGGCAACCUGCCCGGAAAUGGGGGAUAGCCCGCCGAAAGGCGGAUUAAUACCGCAUGUGACUUAAGGUGGCAUCACCUUAAAGUGAAAGUCGGUGAAAGCUGACGUUUCCGGAUGGGCCCGCGGCCUAUCAGCUAGUUGGAGAGGUAACGGCUCACCAAGGCUAUGACGGGUAGCUGGUCUGAGAGGACGACCAGCCACACUGGAACUGAGACACGGUCCAGACACCUACGGGUGGCAGCAGUCGAGAAUUUUUCUCACUGGGGGAAACCCUGAAGGAGCGACGCCGCGUGGAGGAUGAAGGUCUUCGGAUUGUAAACUCCUGUCAUGAGGGAGUAAGACAUCGCGUUAACUGCGUGGGUGUUUGAUAGUACCUCAAGAGGAAGAGACGGCUAACUCUGUG